rnacentral:rRNA from 1 species
CCUACGGGGGGCAGCAGUGAGGAAUAUUGGUCAAUGGCCGGAAGGCUGAACCAGCAACGCCGCGUGGAGGAUGAAGGUUUUCGGAUUGUAAACUCCUUUUGUUAGAGAAGAUAAUGACGGUAUCUAACGAAUAAGCACCGGCUAACUCCGUGCCAGCAGCCGCGGUAAUACGGAGGGUGCAAGCGUUACUCGGAAUCACUGGGCGUAAAGAGCGCGUAGGCGGGAUAGCAAGUCAGAUGUGAAAUCCUAUGGCUUAACCAUAGAACUGCAUUUGAAACUGUUAUUCUAGAGUAUGGGAGAGGUAGGUGGAAUUCUUGGUGUAGGGGUAAAAUGCGUAGAGAUCAAGAGGAAUACUCAUUGCGAAGGCGACCUGCUAGAACAUAACUGACGCUGAUGCGCGAAAGCGUGGGGAGCAAACAGGAUUAGAUACCCCAGUAGUC